GUGUAAAACCACAACAAAAUUGAUCACGACGGUGAUCACAGUGAGAAAUGGAGGAAGCCAUGGACAUGGACGCCGAUAAGCUUCGAGCUCAAUUCCUUGAAGUACUGCGGAGCAGACGAUCAGCCGAAGUUCCUCUCUCUGUGAAGCCCGCAAAACCAGUGACAAACCUUUUGUUUCAGGAGGAUUCCCCACCUCCCUUGAGUGAGAGUGAGGCAAUGUUGUCAUGUCCAAGGGCAAACAUUGACAAUUUCAAGGACCUACUGCAAGAGGAAAAUCUUUAUUUGAUUACAGAGGCAGGAGAGCAAGGACAGUUACCAGUAUUAAUUAUAAGCAUGAAGGAAGACAAUGAGCGAAAAAGGCCUGCUGUAGUUUUCCUGCAUAGAACAACUACUUGCAAAGAGUGGUUAAGACCCCUGCUUGAGGCCUAUGCUUCAAGGGGAUACAUAACUAUUGCAAUUGACUCUCGAUACCAUGGUGAACGUGCUAGCAGUAUUACCACCUACAAUGAUGCUCUUAUAUCAUCAUGGAAACGAGGCAAUACCAUGCCAUUCAUAUUUGAUACGGUCUGGGACUUGAUAAAGCUGGCAGAUUAUUUAACAGGCAGGAAGGACAUAGACCCCACUAGGAUAGGAAUCACUGGAGAAUCACUAGGAGGCAUGCAUGCAUGGUUUGCUGCUGUUGCUGACACCCGCUAUUCUGUGAUUGUCCCUGUAAUUGGGGUUCAGGGUUUUCAGUGGGCCAUAGAAAAUGAUAAAUGGAAGGCUAGAGUUAACAGCAUAAAACCUGUUUUUGAGGAAGCACGAAUUGAUUUAGAGAAGAAUGAAAUUGAUAAAGAAGUGGUGAGGAAGGUCUGGGAUAGGAUUGCUCCUGGUUUAGCAUCCGAGUUUGAUUCUCCUUACUCAAUCCCAUCUCUUGCACCACGUCCUCUGCUAAUUCUAACUGGUACAAAAGAUUUUCGAUGCCCGCUAGAUGGUCUUGAUGUUCCCACGUCAAAAACGUAUAAAGCUUAUGAGAAUGCACAAUGUUCAGAUAAUUUUAAAAUCAUUGCACAGCCUGGAAUUGGUCACAGAAUGACUAAGCUAAUGGUAAAAGAAGCUAGCGAUUGGUUUGACAAGUUUUUAAAGUCAUGAUGCUUUUUAAGGAUUAUACAUGAUGAAGGAUGUCCAUGACAACUUGCAGAGGAGGAGACCCUAUCAUUGUUUAUCCCCUAGUUGGUGCGUUUGUUGUAAGAUUGCAGGAGAAUCAACUAAACACUUAUUCCUGGAGCGUCAUUUUGCUAGGGAGGCAUGGGGUAAGGUCUUGGCUGAGUUUGGUGUCCUUUGGUGCAUGUCCUCUACUUGUUCUCAAUUGUUUCUGUGUCGUUUAGAGGGAGGCAAAAUGGUGUCUUGAUUGUGGCAGAGCACCUUGCUAGCGACUUUUUGGGUUUUAUGGCUUGAAAGGAAUAGUAGAAUUUUUUAAGGUGCCUAUAGCUCAGUUGAGGCUAUUUGGGAUAAGAUUAAGUUUUGGAUUGCAAUUUAGGUGUAUAGAACCAAGUUUUUUGCAGGUGGUUUCCUUUUUGGAUCUUACUAGAGAUUGGGGUAAUUUUUGGCUUUAAAGUUGGGGGGAUGGGUUCUGUUGUGGGUGUUUGGGUGGCUUGUUUUGCAACUACGGUAUUUCUCCGCCAAAAGUGAGGGCUCUCAAUAAUGUUGAGAGGAGGUCAGUCUUUGACUAAGGCCUCUGUCUCUUUUUCAAACAAAAAAAAAAAAUUCACCUUUAGUGGAGAACUUAAUGAUUGCAUGCACUUCUAGUAUUAUCUAGACAAAAACUUUGUGUAACCCAUUAUUUUUCAUAUAGUAGAAGUUUUAAGUGUGUAUAGUAUAUUGUCACCUUGUGAGUUUUACCUUCUCAUUGAAGGAUUUGUUGACUUAUUUGAGAUUGUUGAUUAUUAUCUUCACAUAGUAUAGUGUUGUCAAUUGGCUUGUUAUCCUAUCUUUUACUCAUGCAAUGAAGGGAAAUUGUUUGUGUAUUUAUUUUUUAUGUGUUUUUAGUAUUUGUUAUUCUUCCCAAGAAAGUGGUAUCAAAGCGAAGUUGUUUGGAAUUAAUUUCUUGUGUGCUAGAAAUGGAUGGGCCAGAUUUAAACGAAUUAUUAUGUUUGGAAGUGCAUGAUAGAAGACACUUGUUUUAUUGCAAAGAUUUAUACAAGCCAAUUACACUUGGUGAUACGAAACUAGAUGAUAUGUUUCAAGGUGAUUGGAUAGUCCUGCAUAGAAAAGUUGCUGGCACAUUAAAAGAUGGGUUGAUCCAAAUAUCUUUGAAAUAAUAUGUGAUGAAACUGCUUUGAUUAAAAGACUUAUGAAUUAAAAAUAUAAAGAUGGGAGCAACUUAAUUAAGGACAUAAGUUAGAAUCUGAGCAUUAUGAACGUACUGGCUGCCUUGAAGAUCAAUGAGGUUCAAACAUCUAUCUUUACUUCUUAGCUCUUUGCCUGAGAGUUGAGAAACGUUGGUGGUGCAGUUAGCAGUUCGGCUUUAGAUGGGAUACCAACUAUAGAUUUAGUUGAAGACAGUUUGCUAAAUGAAGAUGCAAGAAGAAAAGAGAUGGAUGAAUCUUCUUCUGUGGCACUUUUAGCUUAAAAAGAAGAGACAUGGAAGAAGUCAAAGUAGAAAUUUGCAUAAUCAUUGAAAAAGAGAUUUUAGGGAGAUUUAAGUCUAGAUCGAGGAAGAAUAUUAUUAAGGACGGCGAUGUGGUGGUUGACUGGGAUGAUGCUUGGGUUAUUAUUGCUUGCCAAGAUAGUGAUUGGGUGGUUGACUCUAGUGCAUCACACUACAACAAUUUUGCUCAAAUAUUACAUAAUUUUAGAAGUGCUAUUGAUAUAUGUUAAUAAAAAAAAAGACACGGAUAAAUUUGUUUUUUACAAGUGUAAAAACAAGAAAAUUUUAGGCGGGAAAUGAAACACUUAAGGCGCAUGAAAUUGACAAGAAAAAAGCAAUUGAAAAAAACACUUAUCCCUAAUCUCUCUCUCAAAUCGCAAAUCUCUACCCGUGCAUGCCUCUCUUUCUCUCUCCCCCUCACACUCAAUCUUCGUUUCUCUCUCCCUCGCUCUUUCUCUCAUUCUCUCACAUUCUCUCGGCUUUCUAACCCUCGCGCCGUUGAAGCACACCACGACUACACCCCUGCUGAAGCCUCCCUCACGCCGGUACUCACGCAGCUGAAGCACACCACGACCACGCCCGUGCUGAAGUUGUUGAGUCUCUAGUCCCCUCUUUGUUUAUCUCUCCCGCUGGCUUUGAGCAAGAACAGGAGACCUCUUUUGUCUAUGUGAGGUAAUUUAUGAAAUUAUUGAAACCUGCCGUUCUCAUUUGAUAAUGCCCAAGUGCUUAUCUCCAAUUACUCAACAUGCCAGGUCUUAAUGAGAAAUUAAAAUGCAUGGAGCAACAUUCAAAGUUGGAAGUUUCUUUGAUUAAUAUUCAGGUUCAAGUUAGGACGAACACUUCAGUGAUGUCUCUUGGUCCAAGGACUAGAUAAAGACAAGAUACUUGGGGAGACAAGAUACUUCAGUGAUAUCAAGCAAUCUCUCACGAAAGAUUUUUACUGCAAUAGGUAUGCCUCUUACCUUUGUUUUAAUAUUAUGCAACUGCUAGAGGAGUUUGAAUAUCUUAAAUAUUCAUCCAUAAAUAUUCAUUCAUAAUGAAGUAGGAUCUAAGAAAUUUGUGUGUUGGGGUAAUAACGGAAGGUUAAGAACUUGUAUGUCUGAGUGAAGUAGGAUCUGAGAAAUUUGUAUGCUGUGGUGAGAUAAGGUUAAGAAUUUCUUCCAGUUGGUAUGUUUUGAUGAGGGCACCCCCUAGAGGAUUUUAUGACUUGGAUUACUAUGAUAAGCAUGAGUAUAUGCUAGAGCUGAGCAUUGGGCGGGUUGGUCGGGUUACAAGGCAUUUUUACUCGUCCAAUGUCAUAAUCAGAUUAGCAAAAGUGACUCGUAACUUGCCCAAUUAAAAAAAAAAAAAAAUUUAACCCGUCCAAUAAUUUGGGCGGGUUGGUCGGGUUAACCCGCCCAAACCGAAAUUGUAUUUUUUUUUGGGCGGGUUGGUCGGGUCAACCCGCCCAAACAAAAGUGGUAUUUUUUUUUUUACAUUUUUGUAAUUUUUUUCUUUUAAAUACUAGUACUAAUAGUGUGAAGUUUAUCUUUUUAAGCUUAAAACAAUAUUUUAAAUUUAUAGUAAAAAAAUUAAAACAAAACUUAAUUAAUUUAUAUAUUUAUUUGAAUAUAUUAAAAAUAAUAAAUUCUUAAUUGGGCGGGUUGAUAAUUAUUUUCAACCCGCCCAAUGUAACAAUUGGGCGGUUUAAAUUUUGGUCGGUUUAUUCGGGUUGGUUUGGGCGGAUUAUUCGGGUUGGGUGGGUUGUAAAAAUUUCUGCACAGCCCUAGUAUAUGCCUAUCAUUUCAGAAGAAAAUAUUGAAACUGGGUUGGAUGAUGUACUUGAAGAAAGAUCAAUAUGUGAGAGUGGAUUGUGAGGGCACAUUAGUUUGAAUAGCAAGUUGUUUUUUUCUUAACAGCUGAACUAAUCUUGUAGUACUUACACUUGUUAUUUGGAAUAUCAUAUGAUAUACGUGUUUACCAACACUGAUAUUAGAAUGAUGUACAAAUUUGUUGAUACUGAUAUUAGAAUGAUGUACUUCUUAAAUUCAAGGUAUCUAAUGUGUGUGUAGUUUAACUUUUCUCUUCCAUUUUAGGGUGUCAUUCUUACAUGUAUAUUUAUGUUUUAAUGUUAUAAAGAGAAGUAGUGCUCUGUUUUAAUGGAGGAGGACAAGAAACUGAAAAAAAGAAAGAAGAAAAAGUUGAGCAAGAAUAAGAUAACAAAGACAGAAGUAGGAUGAGUUACAAUCAUUGGCCAUGCUCAAGAUGAUGGCCUUCUCAAAGUUGCAAAUUCUGUAAGAUAUUUCUUGUUCCUCUUUGUUUGGUUUAAGUUUCUUGAUAUGUUUUUUGGACUUGAUUUCAUGUAUUAAUGUUGAGUUAACUAGUUUCAUGCAUUAAAUUAGGUACGAGCAAAAGAUAUGCCUCUAAAAAUGACAUCACAACGAAAUAUGAUAGUAAGAGAAAACUCUUUUGAAGAUAUAGAAACAACCAUGACUCAUAUAUGCUCUACUAAAAGAAGGAGGUCUCAUAGGAAAAACACAUUUGAGGCAGAACAAUCAACACUUCUCAUUAGCUUUUAUCAUAAAUUGGCGAAAGCACCCACUCAAACUCCAUCUACUCCAAUGUUAGAUUCACCAGCAGCCAACACUAGGGAAUCUCAUAAAAUGGUGUUUGGAAAAGAAAACAUUUUAUAAGCUAAUAGUAUGUUUGGCAUUGUUUUCUGUUUUUUGUUUUCAAAAUUUUGUUCUCAGAAAUGAGAACAGAAAACUGUUUUUGUAGUUUUUAAAAAACAAGAGGUGUUUGGUUAAUGUUUUCUAAAAACAAUUUUUUUAGUUUUAUUUUUUUAAAAUUUUAAAUAAAAAAUUAACAAAUAUAUUUACAAAGAGAAAAAUAUUUUAAAAGUUUGUAAUAAAUAAUGAGAUAAAAUAAUUUGAAAGAAAAAAUGAUGGAAAAUAAGAAGUGAGAAAGUUAGGAAAGAAAAUUUGAAAACAACUUUUUGUUGUUCUCAAAUUUUUUUGUUUUUUGUAACUUUGUUUUUAAAAAUUGUUUUCUGAAAACAAUGCUAAACACCCCAACUUGUUUUCAAAAAACAGUUUUUUAGUUAAGGUGCCAAACAUCCUCUAAACUUUCAAAUGAGUAGAAAUUCACCAUAUCAGACUUAAAUUGAAAAACACACCAAACUCCCAUUGAAGAUAAUCGUGGGUCAUUAAUAGCAACAAGAAAGUCACCUCGCCUACAAUCAUUAGGGGCACAAAAUCUAGGAAGCUCAUCAAAAUCAAUUGCUAAUAACUGUGCAGUAGAUCAAGAAGUUGUUGACCAAAUAGAAGAAUGUACCAAAAAGAGAACAAGAGGCCUAACUAUAUAUAGUACAUUCUUCUAUUUGGUCAACAACUUCUUGGUACAUUCUUGGGCCUCUUGUUCUCUUUUUGGUACAUUCUUCUAUUUGGUCAACAACUUCUUGAUCUAUUGCACAGUUAUUAGCAAUUGAUUUUGAUGAGCUUCCCAGACCUCGUGCCCCUAAUGAUUGUAGGCGAGGUGACUUUCUUGUUGCUAUUAAUGACCCACGAUUAUCUUCAAUAGGAGUUUGAUGUGUUUUCCAAUUUAAGUCAGUUAUGGUUGAUUUCUUCUUCUUUGAAAGUUUAGCUUCUGAAAUUUUUUCUUUUCCAAGCACCCUUUUAUGAGAUCUCCUAGUGUUGGCUGCUGGUGAAUCUAACAUUGGAGUAGAUGGAGUUUGAGUGGGUGUUUUUGCCAAUUUAUGAUAAAAGCUAAUGAGAGGUAUUGAUUGUUCUGCCUCAAAUGUGUUUUUCCUAAGAGAUAUCUUUCCAGUGGAGCAUAUAUGAGUCAUGGUUGUUUCUAUAUCUUCAAAAGAGUCUUCUCUUACUAUCAUCUUUCGUUGUGAUGUCAUUUUUGUAGGCAUAUCUUGUGGUAGUACCUAAUUUAAUGCAUGAAACUAGUUAACUCAACAUUAAUGCAUGAAAUCAAGACCAAAAAACAUAUCAGGAAACUUAAACCAAAGAGGAACAAGAAAUAUGCAACUUUGAGAAGGCCAUCAUCUUGAACAUGGCCAAUGAUUGUAACUCCUCCUACUUCUGUUCCUGUUAUCUUAACUUCUUCUUCAUUCUUUUUUUUUAUUGUUUCUUGUCCUCCAUUAAAAUAGAGCACUACUUCUCUUUAUAACAUAAAUAUAUAUUUAUGCAAGAAUGAUACCCUAAAAUGGAAGAGAAAAGUCAAACUACACACACAUUAGAUACCCUGAAUUUAAGAAGUACAUCAUUCUAAUAUCAGUGUUAACAAACUUGUACAUCAUUCUAAUAUCAGUGUUAGUAAACAUGUACAUCAUAUGAUAUUCCAAAUAACAAGUGUAAGUACUACAAGAUUAGUUAGAUUGUCAAGAAAAAAACAUGAUAUUCAAACUAAUGUGCCCUCACAAUCCACUCUCACAUAUUGAUCUUCUUCAAGUACAUCAUCCAACCCAGUUUCAAUAUUUUCUUCUGAAAUGAUAGGCAUAUAAAAUCUUCUAGGGGGUGCCCUCAUCACCACAUACCAACUGGAAGAAGUUCUUAACCUUAUCUCACCACAGCACAUAAAUUUCUCAGAUCCUACUUUACUAUGGAUGAAUAUUUUAAAUAAUCAAACUCCUCUAGCAGUUGCAUAAUAUUAAAACAAAGGUAAGAGGCAUACCUCUUGCAAACAAAAGUAAAAAUCUUUCGUGAGAGAUUGCGUGCACCCCAAGUAUCUUGUCUUUAUCUAGUCCUUGGACCAAUAGACAUCACUGAAGUGCUCGUCCUAACUGAGCAAAACCAACAAAUUUUAUAAUGUGUGUGGGUAACCCAUCCUAAAUUACAAUUAUUUUGUACUACUGAUUAGAGUCUCAACGACUUUAGCAUGGGCGUGGUCGUGGUGUGCUUUAGCUGCGUGAGGGAGGCUUCAGCAGGGGUGUGGUCGUGGUGUGCUUCAACGGCAGGAGUGAGAAAGCUGAGAGAUUGUGAGAGAGAGAAAGAGCGAGGGAGAAAGAAACGUAAGACCGAGUGUGAGGGGGAGAGAGAGAGGCAUGCACUAGUAGAGAUUAGGGAUAAGUGUUUUUUUCAUUUGCUGCCUAAAUUUUUCUUGUUUUUACACUUUUAAAAAACAAAUUUCUCUGUGUCUUUUUUAUUAAUAUAUAUAUCAAUAGCACUUCUAAAAUAAUGCAAUAUUUAAGCAAAAUUGUUGUUGUGCUAAACCCUUUUAGGGGAGGGCUAUGAGAACUAUAAUUGAUUUGAUAAAUCA